CGCUGGCGGCGCGCCUAACACAUGCAAGUCGAACGAGAGAGAGGGAGCUUGCUUCCUCAAUCGAGUGGCGAACGGGUGAGUAACGCGUGAGGAACCUGCCUCAAAGAGGGGGACAACAGUUGGAAACGACUGCUAAUACCGCAUAAGCCCACGGUGCCGCAUGGCACAGAGGGAAAAGGAGCAAUCCGCUUUGAGAUGGCCUCGCGUCCGAUUAGCUAGUUGGUGAGGUAACGGCCCACCAAGGCGACGAUCGGUAGCCGGACUGAGAGGUUGAACGGCCACAUUGGGACUGAGACACGGCCCAGACUCCUACGGGAGGCAGCAGUGGGGAAUAUUGCACAAUGGGGGAAACCCUGAUGCAGCGACGCCGCGUGGAGGAAGAAGGUCUUCGGAUUGUAAACUCCUGUUGUUGAGGAAGAUAAUGACGGUACUCAACAAGGAAGUGACGGCUAACUACGUG
rnacentral:rRNA from 1 species